ensembl:rRNA 5S_rRNA 5S ribosomal RNA
GCUUACGGCCAUACACCCUGAACACGCCCGAUCUCGUCCGAUCUCGGAAGCUAAGCAGGGUCGGGCCUGGUUAGUACUUGGAUGGGAGACCGCCUGGGAAUACCAGGUGCUGUAAGCU